GAGUCACACCUAGGCAGUCUGAGUCUUAACAAGAGGCUUGUUUGUGUUUUCUGAAGUUAUAUCAAAAUUUCUCCAAGUGUUUCUGUGAUUUCAGCUGGUGAAUUCUUCAAAGGCUUUUUCUCCCAUUAGAGAGAGACUCUGCGGACCCAUUUGGAAAUGCAAUCUUUAGAGGUACUUGUUACAAAGGCUGAGGUGCAGUUUCACUCUACUCAUAUCCACUGGCUGGGCUUUUCUGCAUCAACACCAAGUUCACGACACCGAUGGAGACGGGGGCCAAGUUUCUGCCCCGCGUCCGAGAGCAGUUUUCCCGGGUUCUUGGUGACUGCGGGGGUACCUCACUGACCUCUCCUGCCUGGCGUGUGACAGGGGAAGGAGUGACAGAGGCUGGAGAUGCCAUUGAACAUAACAAACCAUCAGCUCAGCCUCUUCCAGAUCCCCCGCCUUAUCUUGCUCUGAUAAUUGCAUCUACUUCUACCCAGUAAUUUUCUAGUACUGAGUCCCAAACCCCCCAUUCGGUGAGCGUUGAACUGCCAAUGUCUCUUUUCAAGGGUCAGGGCGCUGAAGCUGCCGUUGCCGGUUUGGAAAAGAGCGCACCCCACAGUGUGUACUGUUUGCUCAAAUACCUUCACAUUUUUCCCCUCUCUUUUUUAUCCCCUGGGGUGAAAACUCGAAGACAAUAACCUCGUCACCUGUCACGCUCCAGUAUAAAAUGUGCUGCUUGCAGACAUACUCUUUAACCAACCCAAGCCUCUCACCUUGUCCUCUUCUGCAUUUGCAUGUUCUCAACUAGGAGGUUACCUCACAAUGUGGUUUCGUAUAUUAAAUGGAAUCGCUUAUAUUUUCAUUUGAAAUUCCAGUGCCUUGUGCUUAAAAUUUGGACUCGAACGCAUUAGGUGGACUUGGUUAAAACUAUAUCCUUAUAGCUUCUCUAUUAAUUAUUACAGAAAAAAAGUGGUUUUCUGCACAUGUUGAGUUAGGCGUAAAAUGCCUUGAACAUGAGAUUAAACCUUUUCUGAAACUUAGACAAAUGCACACGAACGUUUAGCUAUCCCCUGAGUUACUUUUCCUUUCUGAUCUCUCUGUCACUGAAGUGCAAACCAUCUUUUCAUAGUCUAGUUGAAAGAGAUGGGCAAAUGGAAUUUUUAGAAAUAAAAGUUCUCUCUUUCAUUUUUUUUUACUCUUGAUACACAAGAGUCUUGGGCUGGGGGCCAGUCCCUCAAUGAAGAAUGCAUCUAAUUAUUUAGAUUCAGUGACGAUUUGGAAGAAAAAUAAACCAGAUACUUUUGUCUUAACUGGAGUGAAACUUGCCAAGAACAUUCUGACUUAGCACUCUGAAGUAUCUGAGGUUUGAAACUGGUUUUGUUAUACGUUUUUAAGUGGUCAUCUGUCAGAGGAAGGAAUUUGUGAGGGAGAAUUAAGAAUUAGUAUUGUUCAUCUCCGAGAGAGGCCAGUUGUGAGAAAGUAACAGUAGAAUCUACUUUUAUUGCACUAAAUUAUGAGUUUUACCAAUCUCAUUAAUUUUAGUUUGCUGAAAACAGCAAAGUAACAACAAGGAAAUAACACAACAACAACAACAACAACAAAAAAAACGACAAAAGACAAAAAAAAAAAACAAAACCUUUUCUGUCUUUUUUAAAGAGCUACUUACACAUCACAAUUUUUUUUGCCGCUAGAAAUUUCCUUAGUUUGCUUUUGUUUACGAGCUCAGCUAUAUAUGUUUAUUCAUAUUUUUAGAUAUUGUCCUCUAUCAUAUCUAUGAAUGUAAAAGCAGAAGGGGGAUGAUUCUGUAUAUGUUUAAGCCACCAUCUGGAACAUCUGGAACAGGAACGCUGAAGUUAUUUUUUUAACCUGUAAUAAUAAAUGGCAAAUUUAAAAGUUGUAUUUGUAAUCCACAGAGUAAUGUUGUUUGCAAAUAUGAAAGAAGUUUAUAUAUCAUCCACAUACCUGGAACAGAGUGCUGAAUAACUCUGAUAUAAUAAUGUCAUCUGUUUCAAUAGCAGACUUUAUUACUGAGGAAACUGAGGGCCAGAGUAGUGAAGACCUAAGGUCAUGCAGUGGAUUUGGGGCUGGACUAGGGCUAGUUUGGUGUCUUUUCUUUGUGCUUUGCAGUAAAGUAUGGUAUUCAGUUAAGUAUCUAGUGAGGGCUGGACCCUGUGGGGAAUACUAGCAAAGUACAAGACAAGGAUAUUGUUCUCGUAGAGCCGAAAAAUUUAUCUGGGGAGAUCAGACGGACUCACAUGUGCCAUCUAAGGUCAACAGACGUACACAAUUGUGCUGAACUGUGUGGUGUUGAUGGUAAGGGGAAUAAGAAUUCUACCAAGGUCAGUGAUGAGCCCCACAGAGGGGUUGAAAUUUGAGCUGAAUCUUAAAGGACAGAGUUGAAAAAUGAAUGGCAAGGGAUAGGUGGAUGCAAGAGAGAGGCAAGCAGUGAGCAAAGGCAAUAUGGAGAGUGGUUUGGCUUGUCAGGGCCUCACAGUAAUUCCUACUUCAGGAAGGUUUACUCUCCCUGAGUAACAGGUGGAAUACUGGGUUAUACGUUCUGCUUUGUAGUUUUGUUAUGCCAUAUGUGGCCACCAUAACUCCCAUGAGCAUACUCCUCAAAAGCUACUGUGGGUACCGUGUAGGUAGCUGUAAGUAUCAAGAUGGCCAGUACAAAGCAUUGGAUUCUGACAUAGCUUCAGAAUCAACAAAGAAUUGGCAAGGCUUGGAAAGCAAUGCCAUAAUCCAUCUAGAAGGGUGCAUGGGCAGGGAUGUUCAUGGGAGUGUCUGAGAACCAAACUCUUAUUCUGACUGUCUGUUAUUUAGUUGAUAGCUGUGGGGGGAAAUGCAGUGUACCACCCGGAUUCCCCUUAGCUGCCAGGGAUUGCUAGCAACGGCAAAGAGCUCUCUGAUACCAAGUCUUGUAGCCUUCUGGGGGCAGUCCCCAUCCAAUGACCAAUCACUGAAAGGUAAUUUGACCCAAUUCCCCUGCCUCUAUUUAGGGCUAUUCUACCUCUAGAGCUCCACAGCCUUGGGCAAGGCUGAGUUGAGUCUACACUAGCUUGACUUCUACCUGUAUCCAAUCCUACUUCCUUUCCCUCCCUCUGAUCUCUAACUUACUCCCUAAGAAAUGACCUAAACACUAAGCCCAGCUCAGAGUCAGUUUCUUGGAGGACCCAGCCUGCAAGAGUAACCCUGGUCCCAGUCUCAGAUCCAUUGUCUAAUCCAUGGGGCUAUGUGAGGUUCUCAUAAGAUAGUUUAGUAGAAAUCUCUUUGAAAACCAUAAGAUAUGUUUUAUUUUCCUUUUGUUAGAAUGAUGAUUAAAGAUAAAUCUUCAUUUGAGCCACCUAGUAUGGACUUUGAGAACGCAGACUCUGCAGGCAGACAAACUUGGCUUAGAAUCACUACUUUUCCCAUCUCCAGCUAUACGACCUUGGCAAAGUGGUUUUACCUUAUUUCAUCUCAGCUUUUCCAUCUGUAAAUUGAAGAUAAUUAUAAUAAUUAUCAAACUGUUUUGCUAAUCAAAGGAGACAUAAUAUUUAAAGAGCUUGGCAAGGAGCUUUACUUAGAGAAAGUGUAGCUAUGGUGUCUAUAUCUGGGAGAACCAAUUAUAAAAUGUCAAGUACUCCCAUGUUUCUGGGAAUGAAUACAAAUCUCCACAGGAUCGGCAUUUUUCCCAUAGGAAGAGGAUGGGGAAAACAAUGAGGAUUCUAGCUAAUUGGCAUCCCAGUCUGUGUUUGGAUGGGUGCUGAGUGUGAGAGGUGGGCAAGAUGGAGAAAGAGGUCCGCCCACAAUAGGGAAGAGAGAGACCAUGAUGGGCAGCAGUAGUCAGUAGCUAAUGUAGGAUAUAGGCCAAGAAGCCAUUUGGGUCAAGGUGAGUUGAAAGGUCACCUUGUGCCAGAGGUUGGGUUGCAGAAUUAAAAGACAGAAUCAUUUAGUGUUCUGGAGUGUGGAGAGCAGUGACGACUGAGCUGGCAUGUCUUCUAAUGUCUGGGAAGGUAUGAGUGGAGAACAAUACACCAUAAUAGGUGGGAAAGAGCAGGUCAUUCAAACAAGCAAGCAGAGGAGGAAAGAAAAGGGAGGAAACUUAAAUUCUGAGCAAUGUUAUCAAAAGGCAGCAAAAGCAAUAAUCACUUAGGAUGAGUUGAUAUGUAGUAGUUGCUAAAGACAUACUUUGGUUGCUUGGUUUAUUGAUUUGGAAAAAUGGGGGAGGCAAAUGGAAUAAAGCCAUGAAAUACGUCCAAAGAAACCACACCCCGUCUGCUUGGGUUUCUCCUGUCAACUUUCCCAUCUUGCGUCUCACCUGACUCAGCCUUGCUCAGGUCCAGGGUCAGAUGCCCUGAUGCCACUCCAUGCAGCACGAAACACUGGAAGUGUGAAGGAGGUCUGCGAGAGUAAGAGCUCUCGUCGCCGUCCAGGAUGUCUUUGCCUGUGGUCCCAAGCGCUCUCCUGGGCCCGGCAUCAGCAUUCCCUCUCUCCCCACAUUGCUACCCCUGGUCCCUGCCUCCACUGUUGAUUUUUAAGUACAGCUUCCCGCCCCCAAAUUAGGUAUUAUUUUAUGAUUUUUUUUCUGACUCUAAAAAUAAUUUCGUUUCAUUGCCCCACACAUUUAAACCGCGGAAGAAUAUAAAG
rnacentral:lncRNA from 1 species